UCUUAAUAUUUGUAUCUUUUAUAAAGUGGACAACUAUAUAUGGACAGGGAAAGUACGUUUUGCUUGUAUAAUCUUGGAAUGUAAAUCUACUAGAUCUGCUUCUUAUCUCUAGUAGACUUGCAAUAAUCAUCACAAAGCAGUAGAAUUAACAAUUGAUGUAUAAUUCUAAAGUCAAAUGAAAUUAUUGCAGAUCCAGAUCUACCUAUUUCAUCAUUUCUCAAACAACGGCUUCAAAGAAAUCAACAAGUUCAGAAUUCAUUUGACAGGGGCGAGUUGUAGGAAUAUUUUCUUCAUUAAAGGAAUCCUCAUAAGGCAGAGUUACAAUAUGCUUUUUCCUGUCCGAAAAAGCAUUUGGAUGAUCUGCACAAAUAUCAGAAGCUAUUUUGCCAGAAAUUAGUUUAAUUUUUUCUUGGACUUUAGGAGACUGUAAAGAAUCAGAAAUAUUCAAACUGUAAAUCUCCAUUUGUAAAGACUCAAUAUGCUUUUGUUUUGAAUGAAUCAAAGAGUUAAUAUCCCUA